rnacentral:rRNA from 1 species
GUGAAGGAAUUAGGCAAAUUGACCCCGUAAGUUCGCGAUAAGGGGGCCCUACCCCUCGGGGAGGGCGCAGAGAAAAGGCUCUGGCGACUGUUUAUCAAAAACACAGCACUGUGCUAACUCGCAAGAGGACGUAUACAGUGUGACGCCUGCCCAAUGCCGGAAUGUCACGGAAGCGGGUUAGCUUCGGCGAAGCUCGUAACCUAAGCACCGGUCAAUGGCGGCCGUAACUAUGACGGUCCUAAGGUAGCGAAGUUCCUUGUCGGGUAAGUUCCGACGCGCAUGAAUGGCGUAACGACUGGAGCACUGUCUCCACUUCCGACUCGGUGAAAUAGUAGUGGCGGUGAAGAUGCCGCCUACCCGCGACAAGACGGAAAGACCCCAUGAACCUUUACUAUAGGCUUUUAUUGCACAUGAGUUUGUAUUGCGUAGGAUAGGUGGGAGGCUUUGAAGCGGCCGUUCUGGCGGUCGUGGAGCCAUCCUUGAAAUACCACCCUUUACCUAUUCGUGUGCUAACCCCGAUUCCCGUGAAGCCGGGCGGGGGACAGUGAGUGCUGGGUAGUUUGACUGGGGCGGUCUCCUCCGAAAGAGUAACGGAGGAGCGCAAAGGUUGGUUCAGCGCGGAUGGAAACCGCGUGUUGAGUGUAAGAGCACAAGCCAGCUUUACUGCGAGAGCGACGGCUCGAGCAGUCUCGAAAGAGGGCUCUAGUGAUCCUGCGAUCCCGUGUGGAAGGGUCGUAGCUCAUCGGAUAAAAGGUACUCUGGGGAUAACAGGCUGAUCGCUCCCGAGCGUCCAUAGCGGCGGAGCGGUUUGGCACCUCGAUGUCGGCUCAUCGCAUCCUGGGGCUGAAGGCGGUCCCAAGGGUUAGGCUGUUCGCCUAUUAAAGCGGUACGCGAGCUGGGUUCAGACCGGCGUGAGCCAGGUCGGUCCCUAUCUGUCGUGGGCGCUGCACAUUUGAGAGGAGUCUUCCUUAGUACGAGAGGAUUAGGAAGGACGAACCCCUGGUGAUCCAGCUGUCGCGCUAGCGGCACCGCUGGGUAGCUAAGUUCGGCAGGGAUAACCGC